UACGUAGGGUGCGAGCGUUGUCCGGAAUUAUUGGGCGUAAAGAGCUCGUAGGCGGUGUGUCGCGUCGGUCGUGAAAACUUUCAGCUUAACUGGGGAACUGCGUCUGAUACUGGAUGGCUUGAGUUUGGGAGAGGGACGCCGGAAUUCCAGGUGUAGCGGUGAAAUGCGUAGAUAGUCUGGAGGAACACCGGUGGCGAAGGCGGCACUCGCGG
rnacentral:rRNA from 1 species